rnacentral:rRNA from 1 species
CAGUAGCCACGGUAAUACGAAGGGGGCUAGCGUUGUUCGGAAUUACUGGGCGUAAAGGGCGCGUAGGCGGCCAUUCAAGUUAGAUGUGAAAGCCCUGGGCUCAACCUAGGAAUUGCAUUUGAUACUGUUUGGCUUGAGUUCGGGAGAGGUGAGUGGAAUUCCCAGUGUAGAGGUGAAAUUCGUAGAUAUUGGGAAGAACACCAGUGGCGAAGGCGGCUCACUGGACCGACACUGACGCUGAGGCGCGAAAGCGUGGGGAGCAAACAGGAUUAGAUACCCCCGUAGUCCCUGUCUCUUAUAC